GGAUGAAGAACGCAGCGAAAUGCGAUACGUAAUGUGAAUUGCAAAUUCAGUGAAUCAUCGAGUCUUUGAACGCACAUUGCGCCCCCUGGUAUUCCGGGGGGCAUGCCUGUCCGAGCGUCAUUGCUGCCCUCAAGCACGGCUUGUGUGUUGGGCCCCGUCCUCCGAUCCCGGGGGACGGGCCCGAAAGGCAGCGGCGGCACCGCGUCCGGUCCUCGAGCGUAUGGGGCUUUGUCACCCGCUCUGUAGGCCCGGCCGGCGCUUGCCGAUCAACCCAAAUUUUUAUCCAGGUUGACCUCGGAUCAGGUAGGGAUACCCGCUGAACUUAAGCAUAUCAAUAAGCGGAGGA
rnacentral:misc_RNA from 1 species